rnacentral:rRNA from 1 species
GUCAAGUUAUUAAGGGUUUACGGUGGAUGCCUUGGGGCCAAUGGCUGAAGAAGGGCGUGGCAAGACUACGAAAUGCCUCGGUGCCGGCUGUCUGGCAAGCUUAACCGGGGAUGCCCGAAUGGGGAAACCCGUCCUAGGUCAUACUAGGACAUCCCGACUUAGGUCGGGAAGGUAAGUAGGAGAACUGAAACAUCUAAGUAUCUUGAGGAAAAUAAAUCAACCGAGAUUCCCCUAGUAGUGGCGAACGAACGGGGAAUAGCCUAAACCGUAGCUGCUUAACGGACUGAGGUCCUAUGCAGUUUCGGUGUUGUAACACUCGCCUACCCCGGCCUCAGUACGGGGAAAGAAGUAAAAAACCAUCUCUCUAGCUGAAUGAGUCUGGAAAGGACAACCAUAGAAGGUGAUAGUCCUGUAAGCGAAAGGGAGAUGGCUUCUGGUGUGUUGUUGAGUACCACGGGACACGAGAAAUCUUGUGGGAAUCUGGGGGGACCACCCUCCAAGGCUAAAUACCAUUGGCCACCGAUAGUGAACCAGUACCGUGAGGGAAAGGUGAAAAGAACCCCGGGAGGGGAGUGAAAUAGACCUGAAACCGUAAGCUUACAAACUGUCGAAGUCCAUUUAUUGGAUAACGGCGUGCCUAUUGAAGAAUGAGCCGGCGACUUACUCUGUAUGGCAAGGUUAAGAGAUUUAGAAGUCUCGGAGCCGAAGCGAAAGCAAGUCUGAAUAGGGCGAUUAGUCGUGCGGAGUAGACUCGAAACCGGGUGAGCUACCCAUGGCCAGGAUGAAGCCUCGAUAAUCUCGAGGUGGAGGUCCGAACCCGUUACUGUUACAAAAGUAUGGGAUGAGUUGUGGGUAGAGGUGAAAUGCCAAUCGAACCCGGAGAUAGCUAGUUCUCCCCGAAAUGCAUUUAGGUGCAGCCUCAGGGGUGAUCAGUGGAGGUAAGGCACUGGAUGGGCAAGGGGGCGGAAGCCUACCAACCCCAACCAAACCAAGAAUGCCACUGUAUCUAUGCCCUGGGAGUGAGACUGUGGGGGAUAAGCUCCAUGGUCGAAUAGGGAAACAGCCCAUACCACCGGUUAAGGCCCCUAAGUAGAGGCUAAGUGUUAAAGGAAGUAAGAUCGCAGAGACAGCCAGGAGGUUGGCUUAGAAGCAGCCAUUCCUUUAAAGAGUGCGUAACAGCUCACUGGUCAAGGGAUUUUGCGCCGAAAAUGUAUCGGGGCUCAAGCCUCUCGCCGAAGCCGUGGCUGCAGUUGAUGAAUAGUCAAUUGCGGGGUAGGGGAGCGUUCCUCAUGCGCUGAAGUUGUAGUGGAAACUAUGAUGGAGCGUGGGGAAGUGAGAAUGCCGGCAUGAGUAAUGUAAAGAUGCGUGAGAAUCGCAUCCGCCGCAAGCCUGAGGUUUCCUAUGCAACGUUGUUCGGCAUAGGGUUAGUCGGUCCUAAGCUGAGGCCGCAAGGCGUAAGCGAUGGACAACAGGUUAAUAUUCCUGUACCACCCAGAUUCGUUUAAAACUAAGGGGUGACACGAUAAGGUAGACAGAGCGUGCCUAUUGGACAUGGUGCGUCUAGCCCGGUAGGUGAUGCCAGGGGGUUAAAAGACCUUGGAUAUAGCUGAGAGGGAAAGAAACUUGAGGGUACGCCCUCGGGAAUUCUGUUGAACCUACACCGGCAAGAAAAGCCUCGUAGUUAUGGAGAAGGGUGUCCGUACCGCAAACCGACACUGGUAGGCUGGUGUAAGCGCACUAAGGCGGACGAGAGAACUGUGGUUAAGGAACUCGGCAAAUUGACCCCGUAACUUUGGGAGAAGGGGUGCCCUAGGUGGUGAACCUCAUUUCGAGGGGAGCGACUUGGGGACUCAGAACAGAGGCUCUGGCGACUGUUUAACAAAAACAUAGGUCCCUGCUUAAGCCGAAAGGCGAUGUAUAGGGGCUGACGCCUGCCCAGUGCCGGAAGGUUAAGGAGAGGGGUUCGUUCAGAUUUAUCUGAACAAAGCUCUGAACCGAAGCCCCGGUGAACGGCGGCCGUAACUAUAACGGUCCUAAGGUAGCGAAAUCCCUUGUCGGGUAAGUUCCGACCCGCACGAAUGGCAUAACGACCUGAGCGUUGUCUCAACGAGGUACACGGUGAAAUUGCAUGGCCAGUAAAGAUGCUGGCUACCCGCAGCAGGACAAAAAGACCCCGUGGAGCUUUACUGUAGCUUGGCAGUGAGUCGGGUUUAUGGUUGUGUAGGAUAGGCGGGAGACAGUGAAGGUUCAACGCCAGUUGGGCUGGAGUCAACCUUGAAAUACCGCUCUUCUAUUGAUUUGAUUCUAACUUUAUGUAAUUAGAGGACCCUGCCAGGUGGGCAGUUUGACUGGGGCGGCCGCCUCCUAAAGAGUAACGGAGGCGUCCAAAGGUUCCCUCAAGGUGGAUGGAAAUCACCUGUAGAGUGCAUUGGCAUAAGGGAGCUUGACUGUGAGACUUACAAGUCGAGCAGGGACGAAAGUCGGGCAAAGUGAUCCCACGGUACCGUAUGGAAGGGCCGUGGCUUAACGGAUAAAAGCUACCCCGGGGAUAACAGGCUUAUACCGCCCAAGAGUUCACAUCGACGGCGGUGUUUGGCACCUCGAUGUCGGCUCGCCGCAUCCUGGGGCUGUAGAAGGUCCCAAGGGUCCGUCUGUUCGCCGGUAAAAGCGGCACGCGAGCUGGGUUCAGAACGUCGUGAGACAGUUCGGUCUCAAUCCGCUGUGGGCGUAGGAGAUUUGAGGGAAGCUUUCCUUAGUACGAGAGGACCGGGAAGGACGUACCUAUGGUGUACCGGUUGUUCCGCCAGGAGCACCGCCGGGUAGCUAAGUACGGAUGUGAUAAGAGCUGAAAGCAUCUAAGCACGAAGCCGACCCCAAGAUAAGAUCUCCCAUCCUGACUUCGGUCAGGAGUAAGGUUCCCCAUAGACUAUGGGGUUGAUAGGCCGCAUGUGUAAGUUUUGUAAGAAAUUAAGCUAAGCGGUACUAAUAGACCGAGGACUUG